UCCUACGGGAGGCAGCACAAGCGGUGGAGCAUGUGGGCCUACGGGAGGCAGCAGUGGGGAAUAUUGCACAAUGGGCGGAAGCCUGAUGCAGCGACGCCGCGUGAGGGAUGACGGCCUUCGGGUUGUAAACCUCUUUCAGCAGGGACGAAGCGUAAGUGACGGUACCUGCAGAAGAAGCACCGGCUAACUACGUGCCAGCAGCCGCGGUA
rnacentral:rRNA from 1 species